AUUUCAAAGCUUGCUUUUGAAUUGACGAGCGGCGGACGGGUGAGUAAUGCCUGGGAAUUUGCCCAUUUGUGGGGGAUAACAGUUGGAAACGACUGCUAAUACCGCAUACGCCCUACGGGGGAAAGCAGGGGACCUUCGGGCCUUGCGCUGAUGGAUAACCCCAGGUGGGAUUAGCUAGUAUGUGAGGUAAAGGCUCACCUAGGCGACGAUCCCUAGCUGGUCUGAGAGGAUGAUCACCCACACUGGGACUGACACACGGCCCAGACUCCUACGGGAGGCAGCAGUGGGGAAUAUUGCACAAUGGGGGAAACCCUGAUGCAACCAUGCCGCGUGUGUGAAGAAGGCCUUCGGGUUGUAAAGCACUUUCAGCGAGGAGGAAAGGGUGUAAGUUAAUACCUUACAUCUGUGACGUUACUCGCAGAAGAAGCACCGGCUAACUCCGUG
rnacentral:rRNA from 1 species